AAAGUGGCUUUUUUGAAAGCCACUGAAAGACACAGGAAGGUAUUG
rfam:Cariama cristata contig66560, whole genome shotgun sequence.